AUGAACGCUGGCGGCGUGCCUAAUACAUGCAAGUCGAGCGAACAGACGAGGAGCUUGCUCCUCUGACGUUAGCGGCGGACGGGUGAGUAACACGUGGAUAACCUACCUAUAAGACUGGGAUAACUUCGGGAAACCGGAGCUAAUACCGGAUAAUAUAUUGAACCGCAUGGUUCAAUAGUGAAAGACGGUUUUGCUGUCACUUAUAGAUGGAUCCGCGCCGCAUUAGCUAGUUGGUAAGGUAACGGCUUACCAAGGCAACGAUGCGUAGCCGACCUGAGAGGGUGAUCCGCCACACUGGAACCGAGACACGGUCCAGACUCCUACGGGAGGCAGCAGUAGGGAAUCUUCCGCAAUGGGCGAAAGCUUGACGGAGCAACGCCGCGUGAGUGAUGAAGGUCUUCGGAUCGUAAAACUCUGUUAUUAGGGAAGAACAAAUGUGUAAGUAACUAUGCACGUCUUGACGGUACCUAAUCAGAAAGCCACGGCUAACUACGUG
rnacentral:rRNA from 1 species